ensembl:snRNA U6 U6 spliceosomal RNA
UCACUUCAGCAGUAGGCACACCCAAACUGGAACAAUACGGAGAAGACAGCAUGGCCACUGCCCAAGAAUGACAUGCAAAUGUAUCAAGCAUUAAAAAAUAAA